AAGUCGUAACAAGGUUUCCGUAGGUGAACCUGCGGAAGGAUCAUUACAAUAAUAUGUGAAUUAUCCACAACCUACCGUCUUUUCGUGAACUCGUGUUGCCGUUUGCGUCGUGCGAGGUGGUACCUUCCUGGCGUUUCAUUAGGGAGCCCGAUGAGUGUCGGGAGGCUCCCGAGUCCGGAUGGUGCACACUGUCCCUCCUCUUGGAGGGGAGGCCUCUGAUUGCAAACGCGUGUUACCCCUCCCCACUCUUUACAAAUUAUCACCUUUUACCUUUUCUACCCUAGAACUGACCUCUCUGGAGGGCGCCCUCUCUUCGAGGGCCCUUCCUCCAGCAAGACUAUACGUAAAGAGAAAGAACAACUCUUAACAACGGAUAUCUUGGCUCUC
rnacentral:misc_RNA from 1 species